UCGAGGCCCUCUCUAAAACCCCUCAAUCUUCUUCUUCUCCUCUCUUAAACCCUAAUUAAAAUCUCACUCUCUCUCUCUCUCUUUUCUACACACAACAAUGGGUAGUAGCCAAGCUGCAGUUUCAUUCCUCACAAACCUAGCCCGAGCCGCUUUCAGCCUAGGCCUCGGGGGCGCAGUUCUCAAUUCCUCCCUUUACACCGUCGACGGCGGCCAACGCGCCGUUCUCUUCGACCGUUUCCGUGGAGUCAUCGACGAAACCGUCGGUGAAGGCACCCACUUUUUAAUCCCAUGGCUACAAAAGCCCUUCAUCUUCGAUAUCCGUACCAGGCCCCACACUUUCUCCUCAAUCUCCGGAACGAAAGAUCUCCAGAUGGUUAACCUCACGCUCCGUAUCCUCUCUCGCCCUCAAGUCUCCCGCCUCCCCGACAUUUUCAAAACCUUAGGUACCGAAUAUGACGAAAAGGUCCUCCCUUCGAUCGGUAACGAGGUGCUCAAAGCCGUCGUGGCUCAAUUCAACGCUGAUCAGCUCCUCACGGAGCGUCCACAAGUCUCCGCUCUCGUUCGUGAGAGCCUGAUCCGACGCGCCAAGGAUUUCAACAUCGAGCUCGAUGAUGUGGCGAUCACGCACUUGUCGUAUGGAGCUGAGUUUUCGAAAGCUGUGGAGCAGAAGCAGGUGGCUCAGCAGGAGGCUGAGAGGUCGAAAUUCGUGGUGAUGAAGGCUGAGCAAGAGAGGAGGGCGGCGAUUAUUAGGGCUGAAGGAGAGAGCGAAUCAGCUAAGCUGAUUUCGGAUGCUACUGCGGCUGCUGGAAUGGGUUUGAUUGAGUUGAGAAAGAUAGAGGCUUCGAGAGAAAUUGCUGGGACUUUGGCUAAGACUCCUAAUGUUGUUUACUUGCCUAAGCAACAGAAUAUGCUUCUCGGACUCAAUCGUUGAGUAGAGAGACUGGAGAUAACUUUCAUUCAACUUGGCGACUUGCUAUAUGCUUAGGAGUAUUUGUAUGUUCAACAAACCUGCUGUUUCUGUGCGACCUUGGAGUUCUCCUAUGGGAGGUGGACUCUUUAAUGGUGGUGUAUUUUGCUGUUAUUCUUGGUAACUUCUGCAGCCUCUUUUUACCAGUCUUUUUCCGGUUCAAAGAUGGACAGCAUUGAUUAAUCCUGGAUAGCUUAUGUUAGCAUCGAGCGAAGAAACCAGGAACAUUGAGCAUGGAGCAUGUUUCUACUUGGCUCCCUUUAUGAUAUAUGCAAUAGUGUUUAUUUAGACAAUCUCAUCACUCUUCUCCACAGCUUACCCUAUUUGCUAACUUACUUUAAAUAAUUUUCAUGUCAUGCGACAUUUUGAAGAGCCUAAUGGCUCUUGCACGUGAAUCUCCGAAUAAAAAAUCAGUAUUUUCUUGCUUUACGUUUA